rnacentral:lncRNA from 1 species
CAGAGCAUCUGACCUCUUUUCAGGAACUGCAGAAAAUGAAAUGAAAAAUGAGACAAGGAAAGCUUGCCAGCCUUUCAUAUGGCUACAGUUGCUAAGGAAACUGCUUUCUUAGCUUCAACCUGUCCAGUAUAGCCCAUUUCAUGCAUUCUUCUGGGUUUUUGAAAAUAAAAAUACCAAAGAGGGAAAAAAUGAUAGGGAAUAAAAGUCGGCAUUGUCCUGGUGGAAACAGAGCCUUGCACUGUUUCUCUCUGCUAUGGUGUUGCUGUUUCCCAGUCACCUAGAAUAUUUGCCACCUGGCAAAACCCUCCUGGAACUAAAAUCAUAGAAUUAGCCAAUAGGGUAAACAAAACAAUAGGAAGCCCUAUUUGACAUGCAGCAGUAGCUAAAAAACUGCUUUCUCACCCCAACUGGGCUCUCUUUCCUGCUGGGAAAGUAGGAGGCAGCUCUUAACACAGCAGGAAAAGUGUCUCAGCUCUCUCCUGCCCCACAUCUCAGAAGAAACUGCUCCAAGUUUCUCAGCACCAUGAAUACGACCUGGAGUUCCACCUGUGAAUCAAAAUUGCACAUAUGAGAAGGUGCAAGCCGGGAACUCCAGUCUUCAAGUCAAAUGAGGAUAAUAGGCUGGUUAUACACAAUAGAGAAAUCAAAGAACCUCACAGAGGAUGUGGAAACAGAAAAAAACACACAAGACCGAAUGAUGUGUUAGGAAGAUGUCACUCCCUCAAUGGCGCAUUAAAUGAGCAAAUAUUUCUCCACAUCUACUGAGGAGGUAUUACAUUUGGGUAACGAUUAACAGAGAUUCAUUUUGGAAAGUAAUUUGGCAGUAAAUACUACUGUACUUCAUAAAAAUAAUGUCACUUUCCUUUUUCCCUCAUUUUCUAUUAAAACUUGUUUUCUGGGCUUUCAGUGAGAAUAAUCUAUUUCCUUAUCCAAUUCCACUUAAAUGUAGCAUAAAUAAAAGUUACCUAUACAAGAACUGGUUGUGUAACCUUGGGCAAACACUUUCACCUCUCUAAAGAAACUGUAUACAAGAAACUGUAGCACUGUUUGAAUUGAAGAAGGGAAGGUUGGGUGGUUGGGAGACAGGCGAGCAAAAAGCUUUUAACUUUUAAUCAUUUGCCCUUUUGGAAUGUUGAACUUUGUAAAUGUUUUUAAAUAAAUAAAUAUCACUUUAAAAUAAAAUGAAGUGCUGUUUACUUAAUUAAGAGCUAAAACAUCCAAACUGAACUAUAGUUUGAGAAU